GAUGAACGCUGGCUACAGGCUUAACACAUGCAAGUCGAGGGGAAACGACGGGGAAGCUUGCUUCCCCGGGCGUCGACCGGCGCACGGGUGAGUAACGCGUAUCCAACCUGCCUCUGACUGAGGGAUAACCCGUCGAAAGUCGGCCUAAUACCUCAUGGCAUCGUCUGCGGGCAUCCAACGACGAUUAAAGAUUUCAUCGGUCAGAGAUGGGGAUGCGUCUGAUUAGCUUGUUGGCGGGGUAACGGCCCACCAAGGCGACGAUCAGUAGGGGUUCUGAGAGGACGGUCACCGACAUUGGAACUGAGACACGGUCCAAACGCCUACGGGAGGCAGGAGUGAGGGAUAAUGGUCGAUGGGCGGGAGCCUGAACCCGCCAAGUAGCGUGCAGGAUGACGGCCCUAUGGGUUGUAAACUGCUUUUAUGCGGGGAUAAAGUGAGGGACGUGUCCUUCAUUGCGGGUACCGCAUGAAUAAGGACCGGCUAAUUCCGU
rnacentral:rRNA from 1 species